UACGUAGGCAGCGAGCGUUGUUCGGAGUUACUGGGCGUAAAGGGUGUGUAGGCGGUUGCUUAAGUUUGGUGUGAAAUCUCCCGGCUCAACUGGGAGGGUGCGCCGAAUACUGAGUGACUCGAGUGCGGGAGAGGAGAGUGAGAUUCCUGGUGUAGCGGUGAAAUGCGUAGAUAUCAGGAGGAACACCGGUGGUGUAGACGGCUCUCUGGACCGUAACUGACGCUGAGACACGAAAGCGUGGGUAGCAAACAGG
rnacentral:rRNA from 1 species